rnacentral:rRNA from 1 species
AUUGAACGCUGGCGGCAGGCCUAACACAUGCAAGUCGAGCGAGCGGCGGACGGGUGAGUGAUUUCUGGGAAACUGCCCGCUGGAGUGGGAUAAAUACUGGAAACGGUAGCUCAUACCGCACACCAUCACGUGUGCCCACAUGGGAUUAGCUCGUAGGGGGGGUAAUGGCUCACCUAGGCGACGCUCCCUAGCUGGUGUGUGAGAAUGAGCAGCCACACUGGAACUGAGACACGGGCCAGACUCCUACGGGAGGCAGGAGUGGGGAAUAUUGUACAAUGGGCGCAAGCCGGAGGCAGCCAUGCCGCGUGGGUGAAGAAGUCCUUCGGGUUGUAAAGCACUUUCAGCGGGGAGGCGUUACCCGCAGAAGAAGCACCGGCUAACUCCGUGCCAGCAGCCGCGGUAAUUC